AACUCAGCUUAAUCUUUUCUCAUCACUGGUUUAUAAUAAGAAAAGGAAUAAACUGCUCCCAGACAUCUGCUUUUGUGGUUGAACUUUGGUUUGAAGCAAUCAUAUCAUCAUCAGCUACUAAAAGUGUGCUGUGUUAACCAGCCAAGCAAUUAGUUACACUUUAACAAGUACCGUAAUAAAAUCUGUCAAAAGAAAAAACCUCUUGUGUGGGAAUCAAGGAAGAGCGUCUCAGCUUAAUGUGGAACAUGAAGCCACUCCUCCUUUCUACAUCGCGUUUGCUUCCUACUUAAUGUGAUUCUGUUUAAGGACAAAACACAAGCAGAAGAGGCGCUGUCAUAACUUAAUACCAAGUUUGAUACAUGACUUCAGAAUAACUGUCUCUACAUGAUGAUUAGAUUUCUCUUUUGUCAUCUCCUCACAGCAGGUAUUUCUCUGGGGGUUCAGGUCCAUCAGUCUCCCUCGGCUGCGAUCAGGAAGGCCGGUGAUGAUGUGCAGCUCAUCUGCACUCACGGACAAGCUGACUACACCGUGAUGCUGUGGUACCAGCAGGCGCCUGGAGACAAGGCUCUGAAACUCAUUGGACAUGUAGAAUAUAGUAGGAUAAGCUAUGAAGAAUCGUAUGGAGAGCAUUUCAAUAUCACUGGAGAUCUUAGUGGAAACACGGCAAAGAAUGUCUCUCUCUUCAUAGUGGACCUAAAAGAGUUGGAGCACAGUGCACUGUACUACUGUGCAGCUCGAUACACACGUUGAGGAGAAUCUCCUUUCAACUAUACAAAAACACCACACUUUAUCAACUGUGGUUUUUGUCGUCAACAGCC